ACAUGGUUUGAUAUUUCUUUGUACGUGCUGCGUCAAUUUUCUUUAUUUUUCUUCUUUUUCUUCUUCUUUCC
rnacentral:ribozyme from 13 species